rnacentral:rRNA from 1 species
GAUGAACGCUGGCUACAGGCUUAACACAUGCAAGUCGAGGGGAAACGACGGGGAAGCUUGCUUCCCCGGGCGUCGACCGGCGCACGGGUGAGUAACGCGUAUCCACCCUGCCUCUGACUGAGGGAUAACCCGUCGAAAGUCGGCCUAAUACCUCAUGGCAUCGUCUGCGGGCAUCCAACGACGAUUAAAGAUUUCAUCCGUCAGAGAUGGGGCUGCGUCUGAUUAGCUUGUUGGCGGGGUAACGGCCCACCAAUGUGACGAUCAGUAGGGGUACUGAGAGGAAGGUCCCCCACAUUGGAACUGAGACACGGUCCAAACACCGACGGGAGGCAGGAGUGAGGAAUAUUGGUCAAUGGGCGAGAGCCUGAACCAGCCAAGUAGGGUGCAGGAUGACGGCCCUAUGGGUUGUAAGCUGCUUGUAGGGGGGGAUAAAGUGAGGGACGUGUCCUUCAUUGAAGGUACAGAAUGAAUAAGGACCGGCUAAUUACGUG